AAUUGAAGAUGUUGAAGCAUUCAUUAUAAAUAAAUAAAUAAGGGUCUGCAAUGGAGUGUAACAAGGUGCGAUAUGAUGCAGCAGUUGGUAGCAAGAUGUAGUAGAUAGUGACAAGAUGUAGGAGAUGGUAGUAGGGUAUGGUAGUUAGUGGCAGGAUGUAAUAAGCGGCGGCAGGGUGCAGUAGUUCAGCAACAGUAUACAAUAGUCUAUGAUAGGAUGCAGUAAACUG
rnacentral:lncRNA from 1 species